UGCAGGUUGUAGAGCCAGUGAGGAGACAACCAGUAAGCAUUUCAGCUCCACAGAAACUAAACUAGAUCUUUGGAUUUGAAUGAAACAAUAAGAUUAUUUGAGAGACAUCUAAAAGGUAAAGCAAAUUUUUCCAUGAAAGAAAGCUUGGACAGAAAAUACGCUUGGUAAAUCAGUCUUCUAAAAGCUGCUGGAGAUCUCUAAGGGACGUACCCAGGGCCUGCAAUAUUAUGGGUCAAUACUUCAUGAAACAGAAGGUACUCUUGAUGCAAGGAUGGUAAGGGAUGUUUGGAAUCAGAAACAUAUAGUCACUCUGAGUAUGAUAGGAGAGAUGAAGAUAUGAUAUGAAGAACUAAAUAAAAAUAAAUUCUAAGAAUAUUAAGUUCACACUUUAUAUACUGCUCCAGUUAAAGGCAAUUUAGUGAGUUGUUAAAAGCCAGGCAUCUGGAGCCAGGCUGCCUGGGUUUAUCGCUCAGCUUUGCCACUUGGGUAAACAAACAAAACCACCUGUAAUCUUACUACUUAAAAAAAUACAAAGUAUUUACAGUAAAGUAUGAAAGCAAACCCAUACUCCAUUAACCAUUCUCCAUGUAAUAUGUAUCCUUCUCAACUUUUCCCCAAAAGUUAUACACGUCAGUAUAUAAUGGACAGAUGCAUAAUGCCAAUAAUACUGGUUUGGAAUUAAAAACAUCAUUCAGUGAUCUAACAUGAGCCAUGUAGUACAUACAUAUUCAUCUUGUAUGUACUAAUCAUCUUGUGUUACUGGCUAGGGGUCCCAAUCCAGACUCCAAGAGAGGGUUCUUGGAUCUCAUGCAGGAAAGAAUUCAGGAAGAGUCCCUAAAGUGAAAGCAAGGACAUUGGGAAAGUCCUAUAUCCCUAAAGGAAUAAAGAAUGGCUACUCCAUCGGCAGAGAAGCCCUGAAGGCUGCUGGUUGUCUAUUUUUAUGGUUAUUUCUUUAUCAUAUGGUAAACGAGGGGUGGGUUAUUCAAGCUUCCCCUUUUUAGACCAUAUAGGGUAACUUCUUGAUGUUGCCAUGGCAUUUGUAAAGUGUCACUUGACUUUGGUGGGAGUGUAGCAGUGAGGAUGAACAGAGUCACUCUCAUCGCAACCUUGGUUUUGGUGGGUUUUAGCCAGCUUAUUUACUGCAAUCUGUUUAAUCAGCAGUGUCUUUUUGACCCGUAUCUUUUGCCGACCUCCUAUCUCAUCCUGUGACUUAGAAUGCCUUAACCAUCUGGGAAUGCAGCCCAGGAGGUCUCAGCCUCAUUUUACCAAGCCCCUAUUCAAGAUGGAGUUGCUCUAGUUCAAACGCCUCUGACACUUGUAUGUACUAAGAUGGAUAUAGUAUUUUUUUGUCUUAUUAACUAUUGGUCUAUUUAAUAAACAUUUGUGUGUCUAUUAUUUUGCUAUUAUGAUAGUAAAGUGAAUGUCCUUGCACAUAAAUAUUAAUGUUAUUAUUUCUGUAGGUUAAAUUUCAACUGGGAUGAUAAAUCAAAAGAAACUGUUUAUUGAAUGAGAAAUAAGCUCCCACUCUAGGAUGAGAUGCAUCAUUGAGGAGCAGCCCCCUGGUUUUGGUGACAGAACUCCUACUGAAGGACAGUGCCCUGAGGAUGCUGUGGUGAGGUAUGCAUCCUGCUAGCUUGUUGAUACUGCUCCAUGCUCAUAAAACCAUCUGGGGUCCACGAGUAACAAAACCAUGAUCCAUAAUAACAAACAAACAAAAUGUUUGUUAGCAUGACAGCCAUCACAGGUCAUCCCAUCCCGAGGGAAGUGAUCCAGAGAUUACUUGUUUUUCCAUCAAGUGGGAGAUAGUAGAGGGCACCAGAAAUUUGGAAGAAAGAAAGAUGUUACCAGACCCCAGCACCUACCCAAAGUUAAUAUUAUCCCUUCAGUGGUUCAACAGAAAGAUGUUGACGGAAAAGCGUCCCGAUCCAGACUGCCCGUUUUUUUUUUUUUAAAAAUAGAGAUGGGGUCUCACUAUGUUGACCAGGCUGGUCUCGAAUUCCUGAGCUCAAGUGAUUCUCUCAUUUCUCACGAGGCUGUGGAGAAAUAGGAAUGCUUUUACACUGUUGGUGGGAGUGUAAAUUAGUUCAACCAUUGUGGAAGACAGUGUGGUGAUUCCUCAAGGAAGUAGAAUCAGAAAUACCAUUUGACCCAAUGAUCCC
rnacentral:lncRNA from 1 species